rnacentral:piRNA from 1 species
UAAGCAUCAAGCAAAACAAAAUCCAUGGU